rnacentral:rRNA from 1 species
UACGUAGGGUGCAAGCGUUGUCCGGAAUUAUUGGGCGUAAAGAGCUCGUAGGCGGUUUGUCGCGUCUGCUGUGAAAACGCGAGGCUCAACCUCGCGCCUGCAGUGGGUACGGGCAGACUAGAGUGCGGUAGGGGAGAUUGGAAUUCCUGGUGUAGCGGUGGAAUGCGCAGAGUAUCGGGAAGAACACCCGUGGCGAAGGCGGCUCUCUGGGACGGGUACUGACGCUGAGACGCGAAAGCGUGGGAGCGACAGG